GACGAACGCUGGCGGUGUGCUUAACACAUGCAAGUCGAACGGUAAGGCCCUUUCGGGGGUACACGAGUGGCGAACGGGUGAGUAACACGUGAGUAACCUGCCCUCAUCUCUGGGAUAACAGUCGGAAACGGUUGCUAAUACUGGAUAUGAGCUUGCAAGGCAUCUUGUGGGUUGGAAAGAUUUUUUUGGUUGGGGAUGGACUCGCGGCCUAUCAGCUUGUUGGUGAGGUAGUGGCUCACCAAGGCUUCGACGGUAGCCGGCCUGAGAGGGCGACCGGCCACAUUGGGACUGAGAUACGGCCCAAACUCCUACGGGAGGCAGCAGUGGGGAAUAUUGCACAAUGGACGGAAGUCUGAUGCAGCAACGCCGCGUGCGGGAUGACGGCCUUCGGGUUGUAAACCGCUUUCAAUUGUGACGAAGCUUUUUGUGACGGUAGCAGUAGAAGAAGCACCGGCUAACUACGUG
rnacentral:rRNA from 1 species